CAAAACCCUAGCUCUGCGGCUGCCUUCACUCACCACCACCACCACUGAAUCUCUUCCCUUUCACUCUCUCUAUACGAAAAGGUUGUUGAAUCUGUAGAUCUGAUCUUUAUCAAUAAAAACCCUAACAGGGAUGUUGAAUCACAAAGAAAACUGCAGUUGAGGAAAAAUUCGAUAUUGUAAGGUAUGGUUCUUUUUUGCAUCUUUGUUAGGUUUUCAAUCUCUCGAGGAGUCAUCUUCAUCAAACCAAACUUGGUUGUUUGUCUCUUGGAGUUGGAGCAUUCUCUAUAAAUCCCAUUAGACCUAAUUGAUAUGUGCUAUUGAGAGUGGAGCCUUUAUGAAAUCAUUGUUCCCAAUUCGAAGAUUCGAAAUUUGUGGACAGAAUUGGGUGUGGAAAAAUGGGUAUCUAGAAGAAAGAAAGAAUGGAUACAAUCUGAAGAGGGGAGCAGCAGAUUUGGGGGAAGUUGCUUGUAUGCUUGCAGAUGACUGCAGUAGACAUAUGAUGAGAUUGAGAUAGGUGGUGACGGUGAUAUACCUCAUGCUGGAAUCAGUAAGGCUUGACUCACAUCACUUCCAAAAGAUGUUGUUUUCUUACCGUUCUAGUCUUUGAUAAUUUCUGCAGGGUAUGUGUUUACAAGAGGGGGAUAUGUGGAACUGUCAAAAAAGCUUUCACUUCCAUUGGGUAGUACUCUUGACAGCCUUACCUUUCUUGCAAAUCUGGGUAUGAUGGUUUGAUUCUUUCUGUUGGUGGAAACGGAAGAUCAUUUAUUUUGAUUCUUGAAGCUGGUCCUUCAGCAAAUACAUCUUAGAGCAAAAUUUACUUUGCCCGAAUGAGCACAAAAGUAGGAUUUUGCAGGGUCAGGGUACCGUUUACAUCUUUCCGAGCAGUGAAUUCGGAGGAUCCCUCUUUGGACCCAUUCCUUGUACAUACUAACCAUACAUUUUGAACCAAGAAAACAGAGGCCUAUAGGACUUGCAGGAGGAAAGCAAGACCUAAGAAGCUUCAACUUGAUAAUCGAAUACAUAAAGGCAUUUCCUGUAGAUCUUAUUUCACGUGCAAUGGGAUUCGAGACUAUACCUGGAUUCCUUGCUGCUGGGUGUGGAGGCAGGCAUAGACUUUGAUUGUCAGUUGCAUCGGAUGCUUCCUGUAAUAAUCUAAAUGUGGCGUUGUGAUAGGCUCUGUAACAGGUGGCAUGAAGUGGUUGUCGGGAAGUUGCUGACUUUGCAACUUAUGCAUUUGGGCCAACUAUUGUGAUCACUCCUUUUGGUGCACUCAGCAUUAUUAUCAGGCACGAAACAAGUUCAUUCCCAAAGUUGUGUACUCUUUCCUCUUCAGUUUUUUGGCUAAGUGUCAUAUUUUCUUGCAUUGCUGCAGUUGCAAAACAUAGAAAUAUCUUAUGGAAAAGAAGUCCUUUUCAUUUCUAGUUUUAUUUUUUUGUUCAACAAUUUUUGUAAAGUACCUUGUUUAGCUAAGUUUGGUUCUAGAAUAGAGGUAUCUUGAUUUUGUUGAAUUAAUUUGAUCUUUAAAUUAAUGGGGAGCUAUAAUUUUGACCUGAU